rnacentral:rRNA from 1 species
AGUGAGUAGCUUGCUACGAGCUGUUUUAGCGGCGGACGGGUGAGUAACGCGUGAGCAACCUUUCCCAGACAGGGGAAUAACACACCGAAAGGUGCACUAAUACCGCAUAAGACCACGUUUCUGACAUGGGAAUGAGGUCAAAGGAGCAAUCCGGUGGAAGAUGGGCUCGCGUCUGAUUAGCUAGUUGGUGAGGUAACGGCCCACCAAGGCGACGAUCAGUAGCCGGCCUGAGAGGGUGAACGGCCACAUUGGGACUGAGACACGGCCCAAACUCC